rnacentral:rRNA from 1 species
UACGUAGGGGGCGAGCGUUGUUCGGAAUUACUGGGUGUAAAGGGCGUGUAGGCGGGUUGGCAAGUCAGAUGUGAAAUACCACGGCUCAACUGUGGGUGUGCAUCCGAAACUGCCGAUCUUGAGUGCUGGAGAGGAAAGCGGAAUUCCACGUGUAGCGGUGAAAUGCGUAGAUAUGUGGAGGAACACCAGUGGCGAAGGCGGCUUUCUGGACAGUAACUGACGCUGAGGCGCGAAAGCGUGGGGAGCAAACAGG